rnacentral:rRNA from 1 species
AGUGAACGCUGGCGGUAGGCCUAACACAUGCAAGUCGAACGGCAGCACAGUAAGAGCUUGCUCUUACGGGUGGCGAGUGGCGGACGGGUGAGGAAUACAUCGGAAUCUACUUUUUCGUGGGGGAUAACGUAGGGAAACUUACGCUAAUACCGCAUACGACCUACGGGUGAAAGCAGGGGAUCUUCGGACCUUGCGCGAUUGAAUGAGCCGAUGUCGGAUUAGCUAGUUGGCGGGGUAAAGGCCCACCAAGGCGACGAUCCGUAGCUGGUCUGAGAGGAUGAACCAGCCAAAUGGGAAGGGGAACGGGACCCAGACCCCUCGGGGAGGAGGCGUUGGGGAUUAUGGGACAUGGGGGGAAGGCCUGACCCAGCAAGCCGGGGGGGGUGAGAAGGGCCUUGGGUUUGAAAACCCGUUUUGUGGGGAAAAAAAAGCGAGAGGUUAUAACCCCCCUUUUCUGACGGUACCCAAAAAAAAAGCCCCGGCUAACUUCGUG